UUCUGUUCUUGUGUGAGGUCAAAAUGUCACCAGCAACUGAUGGAUUCUUUGUAAUUCUUUUUAGAAUAUCGGUAAAGUACUACAUAAAACUGUCAUGCUCCGCCUGUUUCAGAGAUCCGGCUCAUCAAAGUGAACUACGAACGGCUGUGCGGGUGCACACCUGACGCGAGUCGAGUUUCUAUCAGAGAAUGCAUCCAUCAAAGCUUGCUGUUUUUAGUGCAUGUUCACGGAAGUCACUACAGGAGCAAGGAACCAAAAGUAAACAGAGCAAGCUCCCAGACAACCAGGCCAAACUUGCAGUGGGUGGUGCCAUCUGUGUGUCUCAAGGGACAGUUGACCGGUUCCUCAUCAGGCUUAUUUGUGAAGGUCACCACCCCUUCUCUUUGGUGGAACAGCCAGCAUUUAAAGAGUUUGCUGCUGCACUCAAUCCUCAAUACAAAAUGCUCUCCAGACCCACAGUUAAGAGCAGAAUUGCUGAAGCUACUGCUGAUAUGAAGACCAAGUUGACAGCACACCUCAGUAACAUAAAUCAUGUUGCAACCACCACAGAUUGUUGGUCUGCUCACCAAAAAAGCUCCAUCGGGGUCACAUGCCAUUGGAUUGAUGGGGAGACCUUCGAGAGAAGAUCUGUCGUGUUGGCAUGCAAGCGGCUAAAAGGCUCACACACCUUUGAUGUGCUUGCCGGUGUCCUGGAUGACAUCCACUGCCAAUACCGAAUUCGAGGUAAAGUGGUUAGAACCACUACAGAUAGUGGCUCCAAUUUUGUCAAGGUCCUUCGCUGUAUUUGGUGAGAGCCAGUCAGAGGAUGAGGAUGCCGGGUCAGACACAGACCAAGAAGGUCCAGAAUUGGAUGAUGACGUUGAGUUUCAAGACACAUUAGGCAUCCUUGAAUAGGACAACGGCCUUGAGUACCAGCUCCCCAAACAUCAGAGAUGUGCAUGCCACCUGCUGAACUUAGUUGCCACGACAGAUUCUGACCUUGCUGAAAAGAACAACACCUACAAGAGGCUUUCACCUGCCGCCUUUGGGAAAUGCCAAGCUCUGUGGAAUAAGUCAGGUCGCUCGCACACUGCAGCAGAAGUUGUGGAAGAUAAAUGUGGCCUUCAGCUCAUUCGACCCAACAAGACACGGUGGAAUUCAACAUACAUGGCUGUGGAGAGAAUCCUACGCAUCAUAAAAGAACAAGGGGAGGAUGCCAUUAGGCAUGUCUGCGAAGAACUGAAAGUGAAAAUGUUGAGUCAAGCAGAAAUUGCUUUUCUGGAUGAAUUCUGCUGUGUGAUGAAACCAGUGGCAAAGGCCUUGAAUAUUCUUCAGUCAGAAACCAACACACACCUUGGGUGGCUGCUCCCAGUGAUCUCUGAAUUGCAGUCCAAACUUACAAGGCAGGAAACGUCGGUCAAGAUGUGCCUCCCUCUCAUCUCGGCACUACAGCAAGGGGUCCAGGAGCGCUUCAGAGUCAUGAUGGAGGACCGAGAGCUUAUCUCAGCAGCAAUCCUCCUACCCAAAUUUAAGACGGGCUGGACUGACAAAGCUGAAGUCAUUGAAGCAGGACUUCUUUAUGUGAGGCAUCACCUUGACCAGAUGGCAGAUGCUGAGGUGGAGCAGGGCGCACUCAGGCAGCAUUCAUCAGACGAAGAGGACUACUUCUCCACGAUGAAGUCCCGCAGGUCAGAGGGUUCUGGGGAAUUGGAGGGUUACCUUGCCUGUGUUUCAGACAGCAUGGACCUGCUGAACUCGUUUCAAAACAUUAAGAAACUGUCUUUGAAACUCAACACAGGCCUUCCCGCCUCAGCCGCCUGUGAGAGACUAUUUAGUUCUGCCGGGUUGCUCUUCACAGCAAAGAGAGCAAGACUUACAGCCAAAAACUUUGAAAAUCAGCUGCUGCUGAAACUAAACACAAGCUUUACUGGUCUGAAAUUGUAGAUUGUGGAUUGUAGUCGGAUCCUGUGUGCAUUUUAUUUUGAAUAGUUGGAUCCUGUGUAGGUUGCUCAGUGGAGUAGUGGUUAGCACUUUCGCCUUGCAGUAAGAAGAUCCCUGGUUUGAAUCCCGGGGUGGGCCUGGGAUCUUUCUGCAUGGAGUUUGCAUGUUCUCCCUGAGCAUGAGUGGGUUUUCUCCGGGCACUCCGGCUUCCUCCCACAGUCCAAAAAUAUGCUGAGGUUAAUUGAUGACUCUAAAUUGCCCGUAGGUCUGAAUGCGAGUGUGAUUGUCCGUAUACGUAGCCCUGUGACAGACUGGUGACCUGUCCAGGGUGUCCCCUGUCUUCACCCGAGUCAGCUGGGAUAGGCUCCAGCACCCCCCGCGACCCUAGUGAGGAUAAAGCGGUGUAUAGAGGAUGGAUCCUGUGUGCAUUUUAUUUUGAAUAGUUGGAUCCUCUGUGCAUUUUAUUUUGAUUUGUGGGAUCCCGUGGGCACUUUAUUGUGUUUUUUUUUUUUUUUUUUUUUU